ACAUGCCUACAAUAUAAUGUUAAUGCACUGGAUCCCAUUAGAACUCUGCAGUUAAGCGCACUCAGUCUAGAGUAGUACUAGGUUGGGUGACCAGCCGGGAAGUCCCAAUGUUUUACAUGCG
rfam:Picea glauca, whole genome shotgun sequence.